rnacentral:rRNA from 1 species
AUCUAAGGAAGGCAGCAGGCGCGCAAAUUACCCAAUCCUAAUACAGGGAGGUAGUGACAAGAAAUAACAAUACAGGACUUUUUGGUUUUGUAAUUGGAAUGAGUUAAGUAUAAACCCCUUUACAAGUAUCAAUUGGAGGGCAAGUCUGGUGCCAGCAGCCGCGGUAAUUCCAGCUCCAAUAGCGUAUAUUAAAGUUGUUGCAGUUAAAAAGCUCGUAGUUGGAUUUCUGUUAAUAAUUUAUAUAAUAUAUUUUGAUGAAUAUUUAUAUAAUAUUAACAUGAUUCAUAUUACUAUUUUUUUUUAGUAUAUGAAAUUUUACUUUGAGAAAAUUAGAGUGCUUAAAGCAGGCAUAUGCCUUGAAUACUCCAGCAUGG